AUACGUAGGGUGCGAGCGUUGUCCGGAAUUACUGGGCGUAAAGAGCUCGUAGGUGGUUUGUCGCGUCGUCUGUGAAAUUCCGGGGCUUAACUCCGGGCGUGCAGGCGAUACGGGCAUAACUUGAGUACUGUAGGGGAGACUGGAAUUCCUGGUGUAGCGGUGAAAUGCGCAGAUAUCAGGAGGAACACCGGUGGCGAAGGCGGGUCUCUGGGCAGUAACUGACGCGGAGGAGCGAAAGCAUGGGUAGCGAACAGGAUUAGAUACCCCGGUAGUCCAUGCCGUAAACGGUGGGCGCUAGGUGUAGGGGUCUUCCACGACUUCUGUGCCGUAGCUAACGCAUUAAGCGCCCCGCCUGGGGAGUACGGCCGCAAGGCUAAAACUCAAAGGAAUUGACGGGG
rnacentral:rRNA from 1 species